GACGAGAUGGCAGAGCAGUGCGGCUGGUUUAGGCCCAGCAUAGGGUAGGUUUUCUACUUCUCGUUU
rnacentral:tRNA from 1 species